UGUGUUCCUUGCACGGACGCGGGACCCCAUGCCACUAGGUGCUCCUUGCACACUCGCCCUUCCCUUGCACGCUCGCCCUUUGCACACCCCCACUGCACACCUUUCAUUUGCACGCUCGCUCUUUGCACACCCCCGAUGCGCCCCUCCCUUGUACACCCUUCCCAUGCACGCUCGGCCUUCCCUUGCACACUCACCCUUUACACACUCGCCCUUGCCUUGCACACUCACCUUUUGCACACCCCCGCUGCACCCCUUUCAUUUGCACGCUCACUCUGUGCACACUGACACACCCCUCCCUCGCACGCUCACUCUUCCCUUGCACACCUGCCUUUUGCACACCCCCACUGCACUUUUCAUUUGCACACUCGCUCUUUGCACACUCCCAACGCACACCUCCCUUGCACACCCUUCCAUUGCACACUCACCCUUUGCACACCCCCAAUACACCCCUCCCUUGAAUGCCCUUCCUUUGCACGCUUGCCCAUCCCUUGCACACUCACCUUUUGCACACCCCCACUGCACACCUUUCAUUUGGACACCCCCGACACACCCCUCCCUUGCACACCCUUCCUUUGCACACUCACCCUUCCCUUGCACGCUCACCUUUUGAUACCCUUACUGCACACCUUUCACUUGCACACUCACUCUUUGCACACCCCCGGCUCACCUUUCCCUCGCACGCUCCCCCUUUGCACACUCGCCCUUUGCAUCCUCAUGCACACCCUUCCCUUGCACACGUGCACACUCCCCCUUUGCACACCCCUCAGGGAUACUCACACUUCUCACACUCACCCCUCCCACACCCCACCCUCUCACACACUCACUUUGCACCCACCCCGCAUGCUCCUUCUUGCACAUCCACCUGUGUGCACCCCCUCUUUGCACACUCACCCCUUGUACACUCACCUCCCUUGCAAGCCCCCCUUUAGCACUCCCCAUGCACCCCCCCUUGCACACUCACCCUUUGAA
rnacentral:lncRNA from 1 species